AAAAAAAAAAAAAAAAAAAAAAAAAAAAAAAAAAAAAAAAAAAAAAAAAAAAAAAAAAAAAAAAAAAAAAAAAAAAAAAAAAAAAAAAAAAAAAAAAAAAAAAAAAAAAAAAAUUAGAACUUUAAAGUUCAGAGAGGUUAGGCAACAUGCUGAAGUCCUCACAGCUAUAAAGUGGUAGAACAAGGAUAUGACCCUGGAUUGUUUGGCUUCAAAGUUGAUGCUCUUAACCACCAUAGAAGAAGACGAACAUGUUGCGGAGUACAAAGAGAGAACUGCACGUGGACAAGUGUAUGCCUUUUCUCUGUUUGUCCUUGCCCAGUCAUAUAAAUAUCCCCACAGAGAAAUUCUGUGCUUCCUAAAGAUAAGUUCUUGAAAAAAAUAAAAAGUACCGGCUAAUUUUGACCAACACUUGCACCUAUAAAAAAAUACUUUUUAAAAUAUCACUUUUUCAGUCCUUCUGUUGCUAGUGAUUCCAUAAGCUGCUCCCAAACCAUUUUUAUAUUCCACUUGUUUUCAUAGUCUCUAAUUGCCCAUCCAUUUCUCUUGCAGUGUACUUUAUUGUAAAUCCUCCUAUUCUGCUUUCUUAAAAAGUGUGACCAUCUUGUCACCAUCAUCUUAGAACUCCCUAUUAUGCCUUAAUUGG
rnacentral:lncRNA from 1 species